GUUCCCUCCGAGACGGAUCCCGAGUAGUGCGGGGCACGUGAAACCCCGUAUGAAUCCGGCAGGACCAUCUGCCAAGGCUAAAUACUCCCUGGCGACCGAUAGUGAAGCAGUACCGUGAGGGAAAGGUGAAAAGCACCCCGGAAGGGGAGUGAAAUAGAUCCUGAAACCGUGUGCUUACAAGAAGUCAGAGCCCGAUCUAUGGGUGAUGGCGUGCCUUUUGUAGAAUGAACCGGCGAGUUACGUUCCCGUGCAAGGUUAAGGUGAAGAGCUGAAGCCGCAGCGAAAGCGAGUCUGAAUAGGGCGAAUGAGUACGUGGACGUAGACCCGAAACCGGGUGAUCUACCCCUGUCCAGGGUGAAGGUGCGGUAACACGCACUGGAGGCCCGAACCCACGCAUGUUGAAAAAUGCGGGGAUGAGGUGGGGGUAGCGGAGAAAUUCCAAUCGAACCCGGAGAUAGCUGGUUCUCCCCGAAAUAGCUUUAGGGCUAGCCUCGGAAAGAAGAAUCGUGGAGGUAGAGCACUGAUUGGGUGCGGGGCCCGCAAGGGUUACCAAGCUCAGUCAAACUCCGAAUGCCAUAGAUUUAGUUCCGGGAGUCAGACAGUGAGUGCUAAGAUCCAUUGUCGAAAGGGAAACAGCCCAGACCAUCAGCUAAGGUCCCCAAGUGUGUGUUAAGUGGGAAAGGAUGUGGAGUUGCACAGACAACCAGGAUGUUGGCUUAGAAGCAGCCACCAUUGAAAGAGUGCGUAAUAGCUCACUGGUCGAGUGACUCUGCGCCGAAAAUGUAACGGGGCUAAACACACCACCGAAGCUAUGGCUUGAUGCUUUGCAUCAGGGGUAGGGGAGCGUUGAAUGCGGGUUGAAGGUGUACCGGAAGGAGCGCUGGACUGCAUUCAAGUGAGAAUGCCGGUAUGAGUAACGAAAAGAUCUGUGAGAAUCAGAUCCGCCGAAAGCCUAAGGGUUCCUGAGGAAGGUUCGUCCGCUCAGGGUAAGUCGGGACCUAAGGCGAGGCCGAUAGGCGUAGUCGAAGGACAACAGGU
rnacentral:rRNA from 1 species